GUGGGUAGCAAACAGGAUUAGAUACCCUGGUAGUCCACGCCGUAAACGAUGUCGACUAGCCGUUGGGUCCCUUGAGGACUUAGUGGCGCAGUUAACGCGAUAAGUCGACCGCCUGGGGAGUACGGCCGCAAGGUUAAAACUCAAAUGAAUUGACGGGGGCCCGCACAAGCGGUGGAGCAUGUGGUUUAAUUCGAUGCAACGCGAAGAACCUUACCUACCCUUGACAUCCUGCGAACCCGGAAGAGAUUCCGGGGUGCCUUCGGGAGCGCAGAGACAGGUGCUGCAUGGCUGUCGUCAGCUCGUGUUGUGAAAUGUUGGGUUAAGUCCCGUAACGAGCGCAACCCUUGUCCCUAUUUGCCAGCGAUUCGGUCGGGAACUCUAGGGAGACUGCCGGUGACAAACCGGAGGAAGGUGGGGACGACGUCAAGUCAUCAUGGCCCUUACGGGUAGGGCUACACACGUGCUACAAUGGCCGGUACAAAGGGUUGCGAAAGCGCGAGCUGAAGCUAAUCCCGAAAAGCCGGUCUCAGUCCGGAUCGGAGUCUGCAACUCGACUCCGCGAAGUCGGAAUCGCUAGUAAUCGUGCAUCAGAAUGGCACGGUGAAUACGUUCCCGGGCCUUGUACACACCGCCCGUCACACC
rnacentral:rRNA from 1 species